rnacentral:rRNA from 2 species
UCGGGAAUAUUGCACAAUGGAGGAAACUCUGAUGCAGUGACGCCGCGUAUAGGACGAAGGUCUUCGGAUUGUAAACUAUUGUCGUUAGGGAAGAUACAAGACAGUACCUAAGGAGGAAGCUCUGGCUAACUACGUGCCAGCAGCCGCGGUAAUACGUAGAGAGCAAGCGUUAUCCGGAUUUAUUGGGUGUAAAGGGUGCGUAGAUGGGAAAAUAAGUUAGUUGUGAAAACCCUCGGCUCAACUGAGGACUUGCAACUAAAACUGUUUUUCUUGAGUGCAGGAGAGGAAAGUGGAAUUCCUAGUGUAGCGGUUAAAUGCGUAGAUAUUAGGAAGAAUACCAGUGGCGAAGGCGACUUUCUGGACUGUAACUGACAUUGAGGCACGAAAGUGUGGGUAGCAAACAGG